rnacentral:rRNA from 1 species
GCAGCGAUGCAUUGAGCUAACCAGUACUAAUGAUCCGUGAGGCUUAACCUUACAACACCGAAGGUGUU